GCCAGGGCAACCUCAGAGAGUCCUGUGGCUUUGCAGCAGCAAGGAUCCUUCUCAAGGUCUCCCCCUGAGGACGGAUAGAAUUAGGAUCAUGCACGUAAGCAUGGCGAGGAACCUCAUCGGAGUCGUCUCCUUCCCUAGUACUGACUCUGUGUAACCUCUUCAGAAGAGCUAAUAACCUGGAGGCGUGGUGUGAGGGAGAGGGAAACACAUUUUCAGCUAACAAAGGACAACUCACAGAACACUUCUUUGAGACCUCCAGUGGAUUCUCCACCAGAAAAGACGACAAGAAUUGACAUUCCUGUUCUUUCUAAGGUAAUACCCAAACA